CCUCUGUGAGCGGAGGAUAUUACG
rnacentral:rRNA from 1 species